ACGAACGCUGGUGGCGUGCUUAACACAUGCAAGUCGAACGGAAAGGCCUCUUUCGGGGGGUGCUCGAGUGGCGAACGGGUGAGUAACACGUGAGUAACCUGCCCUUGACUUUGGGAUAACUUCAGGAAACUGGGGCUAAUACCGGAUAGGAGCUCCUGCUGCAUGGUGGGGGUUGGAAAGUUUCGGCGGUUGGGGAUGGACUCGCGGCUUAUCAGCUUGUUGGUGGGGUAGUGGCUUACCAAGGCUUUGACGGGUAGCCGGCCUGAGAGGGUGACCGGCCACAUUGGGACUGAGAUACGGCCCAGACUCCUACGGGAGGCAGCAGUGGGGAAUAUUGCACAAUGGGUGGAAGCCUGAUGCAGCAACGCCGUGUGCGGGAUGACGGCCUUCGGGUUGUAAACCGCUUUCGCUCAUGACGAAGCUUUGUGUGACGGUAGUGGGUAAAGAAGAACCGGCUAACUACG
rnacentral:rRNA from 1 species